rnacentral:rRNA from 1 species
GAUGAACGCUGGCGGCGUGCCUAAUACAUGCAAGUAGAACGAUGAAGGAGGAGCUUGCUCUUCUGGAUGAGUUGCGCACGGGUGAGUAACGCGUAGGUAAACUGCCUGGUAGCGGGGGAGAACUAUUGGAAACGAUAGCUAAUACCGCAUGACAACUGUUAUUGCAUGUUAACUGUUUAAAAGGGGCGACUGUUCCACUACCAGAUGGUCCUGCGUCGUAUUAGCUAGUUGUUGAGGGAACGGCUUACCACGGAGACGAUACAUAGCCGACCUGGGAGGGUGGUCGGCCACCCUUGGACUGAGACACGGCCCAGACUCCUACGGGAGGCAGCAGGAGGGAAACUUCGGGAAUGGACGGAAGUCUGACCGAGCAACGCCGCGGGAGGGAAGAAGGGUUUCGGAUCGUAAAGCUCUUUUGUAAGGGAAGAACGAGUGUGAGAGUGGAAAGUUCACACUGUGACGGUACCUUACCAGAAAGGGACGGCUAACUACGUG